rnacentral:rRNA from 1 species
CCUUUUGAUUAUAAUUUAAGGUCUAAUCUGCCCACUGAGUGAUUGAAUGGCCGCGGUAUUUUGACCGUGCGAAGGUAGCAUAAUCAUUAGUUUUUUAAUUGAAAGCUGGAAUGAAAGAUUGAAUGAGAAAAUGACUGUCUCUAAUUAAUUUAAAUAGAAUUUUAUUUUUAAGUUAAAAAGCUUAAAUAUAAUUAAAAGACGAGAAGACCCUAUAGAGUUUAAUAAUUAAUUUUGAUUUUAAAUAAAUUGUUUAUAUUAAUUUUAAUUUUGAAUUAAUUAUUUUGUUGGGGUGACAAAAAAAUUUAAUAAACUUUUUUUUUAUUUUAAUACUUAUAAGUAAAUAUUUGAUCCAAAAUUUUUGAUUAUAAGAUUAAAUUACCUUAGGGAUAACAGCGUAAUUUUUUUAGAGAGUUCUUAUCGAAAAAAGAGAUUGCGACCUCGAUGUUGGAUUAAAAUUAAGUUUUGGUGUAGAAGCUAAAAUUUUAGGUCUGUUCGACCUUUAAAACUUU